ensembl:lncRNA
AUGUCAUCGCCUCCGAAGGAAAAAGUGGAAACCAAAGGAGGACAUCUCCCCGCAGUGAAAGCUGGCGGUAUGAGGAUAGUGCAGAAGCACCAGCAGGCUGCUGCUGCUGCUGCUGCUCCAGAACCACCACAGAAAGAUGACGAAGAGGAGGAGGAGGAGUACGUCAGCAGGAGGUUGGCUAGCCGAUCAGAUGAGUCACACAAAAUGACCACAAUGACGGACAAAGUGACCACGGGGAUGCAAUUUGGCAGCAAAGAGAGCCACAAUGACCACAGAGACGCGCAAAGGGAGACAAAACCGCCUCAGCGAAAUACUACAAAGAGACAAACUAAAUGGCGGCAUCGUUUAUGGGCAUUUUGUGCCUCUUUGGGUCCAGAUGUUGGAGACUGAAGCCACUUGAUUCUAGAAGGCUGAGCUGUUGAAAGUUUUGUAGCAGACUUGUUGGGUGCUGUUUCCAUCUUACUUGGUAAACAACAUAAUUACUGCAUAAUUACAGCAUUAGCAGCACAUUCAGCAGUCGCUAUUGUCUGCUCCCAACCUCCCUGGUUUGUUUGGUAUGUUUCAAGUCACCCCGGCUCGAUUUCCGAGGGACAACAAUUAUGUUUCCAUGUGUUUUUUUUAUUUGUUUGUUUUUUGCAUUGAAUGCAUUGUUUCUACCGAGGUCACUCCGCCGUGCAAGGUGACGCCAGUUUCAGCUCAUUUCCAGUGUAAUUGUGUCUGCUUCUACACCGACCACUCAAUGAACGUUGUCACAGGUGGAGCGUUCAGGAAUCAGGAAACAUUUAUUAGCCAAAAUAUGUCAAACAUACAAGGAAUUUGUCUUGGCGGUUAGUGCGCGACAGUAGACAGACAAGACAACAGUGCACAAGUAAUAAAAUAAAGUGGAAUGAAAUGCUAAUGCAAUGGGUUAGUAGAAUAAGGCUAUGGGUUAGUAUAAAACAAGGGAAUAAAGUUAAAAAAAUGUAUAUAUUAAAAAGUUAAAAAGAAAAAUAUUAAGCAUAAAGUGCACUAACGAACAAGUAACAGACAAGAGACAAAGUGACAAGUUCACACCACAUAUCAGCCCGUGUGUGUCGCUGUUAAUCAGAGGCGAGACACGAGAGCUGACUAGCAGUACGUUGCUAACUGUCAAUAAGCGCUGUGUGUCUUUUUACUUUAGAAACAUAUGUACAGUACAUCCACUGUGCUUGUUGUUUGGGUGUUCUGCUGUAUUUCAGAGCAGGGACAGUAUCGACCCGUUCCGGCGCGUUUGGUCUUUUCCUUUUUGUUCUCCUUUUGUGCUGAGACGAGUGGCAGAAGUGAGACAAGCAGGAAUCCAAAAAACAACAUGUGAGCUUGCCUUGUGCCUCCUCGAGGUUGGAGGCCUUGUUGAGAAGGAACGAGUAGGAGAAAGACUCCAGCUGUUGCAGACAAAAGGCUGCGCUGGUGGAUACACCAUGGCCAGUUUAAUGCUCACAGUUUAUAUUAGAAGUUACACAUUUAGGGAAGUUGGAUGUUAUUAUUCGACAGUCCAAAAUCUAAAGAAAUUUAGUUGACAAAGAUCUGUAACAGAAACACAAUCCGACCUGAGGUUUAAACCGCUGGGAACUGGGGAAUGUUUUGUAAUAUUUAUGCUCGCAAAAUUAGUAAAGUUUCAAGAAUUUGCGUCCUGUUUUUGCCACAGUCUUUUUCCCUUUAUAUCUCUGACACUCCCCCCUCCUGUGUAAACUGGCCAGUUGUUCCCCAAAGCGCCGCAGGGUUUAACAGAUGCAGAGUAUUUAUUCCUUCAAAUGUUUCCCCUUUUCAGCUUCCAGUCAAAGAGAAGAAUCAGUCCUUGUGUUGUGUAAAAGAAAAAAAUAGACAAAUAAGGGAUUUAAUCGCUGAGGAAAACAAUUUCUGUCCUCUUGGCUGUUUAACUCCUCUUGGCCUGUGACUGUGUGAAUGCACGUUUACCGUCCACCUGUGAAAUGUUUGUCUUUAACUAAAAAAAAAAAAAAAUCACCUGUCAGCCCAUCCCUUAAAAGAGAGGCUGAGUAACCACACUCCAUCAGUAAAUGCAGUCAGCGAAACACUCUGUCUGUCCCCGUCACGCUGAUGGACGUCUAGCAGGUGGCUGCUGGGUAAAUUUCGCAUUAGCCGCAGCCAGCGAAGCGUCGUAGUCAGGGGAACACCUGCCGUUACCAAUAAAGCCGAGAUGGACAGAUGGGGCAAAGGGUGGAGGGAUAGGUUGCCGGGAUUAUGGCGAAGGAUGAGCGAGGAGGACGGGACAGGACGGGAGGGUGGGGGGUUGAGUGAGGGAUGCCGUCCGUGGUGAUAUGGAGAUAAGAAAGAGCCCAGGCCAGGAGCGAGGAACCGGCAGAAACACGAGCGGCAUGAGCCGGAGCGAGCUGAUGAGUCAGCAAAAGCUCCCUGACCGCUGAGGAGGAAAACAUCCAGCUGAAUCCACGCUUCUUCCUCCGCGUAAAGGAAAACCCGUCAGGUCGCAGUGAGAGAACACGUGGUCCUCAUGGAAGAGGGGGUGGGGGGAGAAUCCGAGGCCUUUUGGUUGGUUGCUCUGUCCCUUCUCCUACAUGUUUUGGUGAAAGGUGGAUAUGUUCCAGAGCCUUCCAAAGAAAGAAAGAGAGAGAGAGAGAGAGAGAGCGGGCGGUGCCGUGUGCGCGCUCGACUAAGUCUCUGCACAUCAUUUCCAAAUGUGGGAGCUGCUGUGAAAUGUGCAGUAAGCUGACAGCUCACGGUGAAAAGUUGAGAGGAUGAGGAGGUGGAGGAGGAGGAGAAGCAGCGGAGACAAGCAUCAGUCUCCAUGGCAACCACCACCUCGCCCACGGGCAACAAACUUCCUGCUCUGCUGAAGCAAACAGAGAUGGGUGAGGCGUGGCGUUAGAGGUAAAAGACCGGGAAAAAAACGCCAUACCCGUAAUUAACAUUUCCCAAUUAUUAGCUAGAACUCUUAUCUGCAUCCACCGCUCUCCUUUUCUCUCCUCCGCUGUUCCUCGCCUCCCCUCCUGACUCCCAACUCCUGCUCAAAGCGACUCCUCCCAAAAGACUCCUUGCAGCUCUCUGCUGCCCCCUGCAGGCUGGCUCUGUCCCAGUGGUGUCUUUCUCCGCGUGGCCUUCUCUGGGUUUCUUGUUCCACUUUGCCAGCCGCAGAGACGGGACGAGAACUAGGUGUCAGUGUCCUCUGACUCGCUUUCAGGGGGGAAAGCUGAUACUUUCAUUGUCGGAUUAUAAGAACGCUCUGACACGCUUACGCUCCUCACUCCUGUCCGUCUGCGUAGUGAUGUCUCACGUGUCUGCCCUCGGUCCCUCCGAGCCGUCAUGCACCAUCCUGGUAGCAACGCGCAAAGGGUUGUUGCUCACGUGCAUCAGAAUGCAGUGCAGUUAAACGUCUCCCCUCCGAACCAGCUCCGAGAUAGAAAUGCCCGUUUUAAAUAAACAAGGAAAUCUUGUAUCCUUUUCUUUCUUCCUCUGGCAGGAUGCACAUUCAUCUCCCAGUUGUUCCUCAGUUUUUAAAAUGUUACGGUCUGACAGGCAUGGGGCGAGCUAGCAAAAGCAUUCGACUGAGUAACACUUGCGGCCCUAAUAUGCCAGAUAGUGAAUUGAGAUGCUAAUGGGGGAACUUUUGACGCCCACGUUAUUAUGACAAGUUGCCAGAGAUGAUUUGAUCAGCCAGAUUCAACGCAUCCAUGCAUUAAUCUAAUGGCGAGGUGCGCGUACACUCUGGCUGCGAUAAAUGGCAGAAGGCCAUUCGGUGCCAAGAUGUUGAUUUGCAGAAGGGGAGGUGAGCCAGAUGUGUUGAAAAUCCAUAAUUGUUACUUGAUAGUGAUUUUAAAAAAGUUCUGCACGGAUCAUAAAAUGAAUCAGAAAGUAGCAGAUGUUUCCGGAGUGCUCUGAUUCUCUCUGCCGGGGCGGCAGUCUGUGGUCUCCGCAAAAAACUUUUCAUCUUCCCAACAUAUUUAUGCUGCUAAUGAGGAAAGCCGCGAGUUGGGCAUUCUGGCUGCUGCAGCUAAUGUCUUUAAGUGGAGUUUUGAAGGUGGGCACAACAAAUGUGCUCUUUUGCCGGGGGGGGGGUUGGGUGACGACAACGCUCGUUUGUCACGUCAAGGUCGAUCCUCUCCUCGGGUGCUGCAGUCCUCCUCGUCUCUCUCUGCCUCCGCCUGCCCGUGUCUGAGUGAGCGCUGGCCUCCCUCUCUGCUCCACCUCUUUCUCCUCUUCUCUAACGGGCCGUGUUUAUGGAGGCGUUUUCGUUCCCCCGUCCUCCCUGCCCCCUCGCGUCCUCCACUCCCUCCCCUGUAUCUGCCCUGACCGGCACCCCCCCC